rnacentral:rRNA from 1 species
GACGAACGCUGGCGGCGUGCUUAACACAUGCAAGUCGAGCGGUAAGGCCCUUCGGGGUACACGAGCGGCGAACGGGUGAGUAACACGUGGGUGAUCUGCCCUGCACUUCGGGAUAAGCCUGGGAAACUGGGUCUAAUACCGGAUAUGACCAAAGGCUGCAUGGCUUUUGGUGGAAAGGUUUACUGGUGCAGGAUGGGCCCGCGGCCUAUCAGCUUGUUGGUGGGGUAAUGGCCUACCAAGGCGACGACGGGUAGCCGACCUGAGAGGGUGACCGGCCACACUGGGACUGAGACACGGCCCAGACUCCUACGGGAGGCAGCAGUGGGGAAUAUUGCACAAUGGGCGAAAGCCUGAUGCAGCGACGCCGCGUGAGGGAUGAAGGCCUUCGGGUUGUAAACCUCUUUCAGCAGGGACGAAGCGAAAGUGACGGUACCUACA